rnacentral:snoRNA from 1 species
ACAAUUUUAAAAAUAGAUGGCAGAGAGGAGAGAGGUCUACACUCAGUGUUCUGACCAAUGAACACCUGAAUGAUUAGUAGCCUGGCAUU